GUGAACGCUGGCGGUAGGCCUAACACAUGCAAGUCGCACGGCAGCACAGUAAGAGCUUGCUCUUCCGGGUGGCGAGUGGCGGACGGGUGGGGAAUACAUCGGAAUCUACUUUUUCGUGGGGGAUAACGUAGGGAAACUUACGCUAAUACCGCAUACGACCUACGGGUGAAAGCAGGGGAUCUUCGGACCUUGCGCGAUUGAAUGAGCCGAUGUCGGAUUAGCUAGUUGGCGGGGUAAAGGCCCACCAAGGCGACGAUCCGUAGCUGGUCUGAGAGGAUGAUCAGCCACACUGGAACUGAGACACGGUCCAGACUCCUACGGGAGGCAGCAGUGGGGAAUAUUGGACAAUGGGCGCAAGCCUGAUCCAGCCAUACCGCGUGGGUGAAGAAGGCCUUCGGGUUGUAAAGCCCUUUUGUUGGGAAAGAAAAGCAGCAGGUUAAUACCCCGCUGUUCUGACGGUACCCAAAGAAUAAGCACCGGCUAACUUCGUG
rnacentral:rRNA from 1 species